rnacentral:rRNA from 1 species
CUACGGGUCGCAGCAGUGAGGAAUAUUGCGCAAUGGGGGGAACCCUGAUGCAGCAACGCCGCGUGGAGGAUGACGCAUUUCGGUGUGUAAACUCCUUUUAUAUGUCAAGAAAAUGACGGUAGCAUAUGAAUAAGCACCGGCUAACUCCGUGCCAGCAGCCGCGGUAAUACGGAGGGUGCAAGCGUUACUCGGAAUCACUGGGCGUAAAGGACGCGUAGGCGGGUUGGAAAGUCAGGUGUGAAAUCCUACAGCUUAACUGUAGAACUGCACUUGAAACUUCUAAUCUAGAGUGUGGGAGGGGGAGAUGGAAUUAGUGGUGUAGGGGUAAAAUCCGUAGAUAUCACUAGGAAUACCUAAAGCGAAGGCGAUCUCCUGGAACAUUACUGACGCUAAGGCGUGAAAGCGUGGGGAGCAAACAGGAUUAGAUACCCCCGUAGUC